rnacentral:rRNA from 1 species
CAACAGGGAUUGCCUCAGUAACGGCGAGUGAAGCGGCAACAGCUCAAAUUUGAAAUCUGGCUCUUUCAGGGUCCGAGUUGUAAUUUGUAGAGGAUGUUUCGGGUGUGGCUCCGGUCUAAGUUCCUUGGAACAGGACGUCAUAGAGGGUGAGAAUCCCGUAUGUGACUGGUAGCCUAUGCUCAUGUGAAACUCCUUCGACGAGUCGAGUUGUUUGGGAAUGCAGCUCAAAAUGGGUGGUAAAUUUCAUCUAAAGCUAAAUAUUGGCCAGAGACCGAUAGCGCACAAGUAGAGUGAUCGAAAGAUGAAAAGCACUUUGGAAAGAGAGUUAAACAGUACGUGAAAUUGUUGAAAGGGAAGCGCUUGCAACCAGACUUGCAUGUAGCUGAUCAACCGGUGUUCUCACCGGUGCACUCAGUUACGUUCAGGCCAGCAUCGGUUUCGACGGUUGGAUAAAGGCCUUGGGAAUGUAGCUCCUCUCGGGGAGUGUUAUAGCCCAGGGUGCAAUGCAGCCUGUUGGGACCGAGGACCGCGCUUCGGCUAGGAUGCUGGCGUAAUGGUUGUAAGCGACCCGUCUUGAAACACGGACCAAGGAGUCUAACAUCUAUGCGAGUGUUUGGGUGUCAAACCCAUACGCGUAAUGAAAGUGAACGGAGGUGAGAACCCUUAAGGGUGCAUCAUCGACCGAUCCUGAUGUCUUCGGAUGGAUUUGAGUAAGAGCAUAGCUGUUGGGACCCGAAAGAUGGUGAACUAUGCCUGAAUAGGGUGAAGCCAGAGGAAACUCUGGUGGAGGCUCGCAGCGGUUCUGACGUGCAAAUCGAUCGUCAAAUUUGGGUAUAGGGGCGAAAGA